rnacentral:misc_RNA from 1 species
GAAGAAGAACGUAGCGAAAUGCGAUAAGUAGUGUGAAUUGCAGAAUUCAGUGAAUCAUCGAAUCUUUGAACGCACAUUGCGCCCCUUGGUAUCCCGAGGGGCAUGCCUGUUCGAGCGUCAUUUCACCACUCAAGCCUGGCUUGGUGUUGGGCGACGUCCCCUUUGGGGACGCGCCUCGAAACGCUCGGCGGCGUGGCACCGGCUUUAAGCGUAGCAGAAUCUUUCGCUUUGGAAGUCGGGGCCCCGUCUGCCGGAAGACCUACUCGCAAGGUUGACCUCGGAUCAGGCAGGGAUACCCGCUGAACUUAAGCAUAUCAAUAAGCGGAGGA